rnacentral:misc_RNA from 1 species
AAGAGACGUUGCCCUUCGGGGUAUACCUCCCACCCUUUGUUUAUUAUACCUUUGUUGCUUUGGCGGGCCCGUCCUCGGACCACCGGCUUCUGCUGGUCAGUGCCCGCCAGAGGACCUAAAACUCUGUUUGUUAAUAUUGUCUGAGUACUAUAUAAUAGUUAA